CACUCCUCUCUCCCCAACCCCUGCGCGACCCUACCGGGCGAGGGGUCUGAAACCUGCGGGCCUCCGAGCGCCUCCUCCGCGUUCGCGCGGCCGGGAGUGCAAAAACUGAGCUAGGGAGAAACGGCUCAGGAGGCCGCUGUGCACCCAUUCCUGCGGGGCUCAGACUCGCCUGUGAUGUGAGUUUGUUGCAUUGGCCUCAGGCAGGUGGCGGCUGUUUCUCUCCGAGUUUUCAAAGACAGGAAAAGUAAUGCCGAGUAGCUGAAGGUCACUCAAGACAGUGACGGGAGAAAAAAGAAAAACAACAUGGCAAAUGACUUCACAGAUUCCAUGACAGGUCAAAAUCAGAACCGGUCCAGCCCGGCCCAGCCACGGUGUCCAUCCACUUCAGCUCCCCGCGCGCCCUUGCGGCUUCGGCAGCAGCAGCCUCUACAGCCUGGGCGCCUGAUGGCCGCGCGUGACUAUGCGCUCCGCCUAUGGGGGCCCGGUCGGCGCCGACAUCCGCGAGGUCACCAUCAACCAGAGCCUGCUGGCCCCGCUGCAGCUGGACACCGACCCCUCCCUCCAACGGGUGCGCCAGAAGGAGCGUGAGCAGAUCAAGACCCUCAACAACAAGUUCGCCUCCUUCAUUGACAAAGUGCGUUUUCUGGAGCAGCAGAACAAGCUGCUGGAGACCAAGUGGGCGCUGCUGCAGGAGCAGAAGUCAGCCAAGAGCAGCCGCCUCCCAGACAUCUUUGAGGCCCAGAUUGCUGGCCUUAGAGGGCAGCUUGAGGCGCUGCAGGUGGAUGGGGGCCGCCUGGAGGCGGAGCUGCGGAUCAUGCAGGAUGUGGUGGAGGACUUCAAGAAUAAGUAUGAAGAUGAAAUUAACCGCGGCACGACUGUUGAGAAUGAGUUUGUGGUGCUGAAGAAGGAUGUGGAUGCUGCCUACAUGAGCAAGGUGGAGCUGGAGGCCAAGGUGGUCGCCCUAAGUGAUGAGAUCAACUUCCUCAGGACCCUCCAUUAAAUGGAGUGACAGAGCUGCAGUCCCAAAUCGCGGACACGUCUGUGGUGCUGUCCAUGGACAACAGUCGCUCCCUGGACCUGGACGGCAUCAUCGCUGAGGUCAAGGCUCAGUAUGAGGAGAUGGCCAAAUGCAGCUGGGCUGAGGCUGAGGCCUGGUACCAGACCAAGUUUGAGACCCUCCAGGCCCAGGCUGUGAAGCAUGGGGACGACCUCCAGAAUACCCGGAAUUAGAUUGCAGAGAUUAACCGGGCCAUCCAGAGGCUGCAGGCUGAGAUCGACGCCAUCAAGAACCGGCGUGCCAAGUUGGAGGCCGCCAUUGCUGAGGCUGAGGAGCGCGGAGAGCUGGCACUCAAGGAUGCUCGUGCCAAGCAGGAGGAGCUGGAGGCCGCCCUGCAGUGGGCCAAGCAGGACAUGGCACGGCAGCGUGAGUACCAGGAGCUGAUGAACGUUAAGCUGGCCCUGGACAUCGAGAUUGCCACAUACCACAAGCUGCUGGAGGGCAAGGAGAGCCGGUUGGCCGGAGAUGGAGUGGGAGCCGUGAAUAUCUCUGUGGUGAAUUCCACUGGAGGCAGUGGCAGUGGCAGUGGUGGUGGCACUGGGCUGAGCUUCGGGGGUACCAUGGGCAGCAAUGCCCUGAGCUUCUCCAGCAGUGUGGGUCCUGGGCCCCUGAAGGCUUAUUCCAUCCGGACUACAUCCACGAGUCGCAGGAGCGCCGGCAACUGAGCUGCUUCCCACCCCUCCAUUCCCCCAGCCACUGCCCACAGUCCCAGAAGAUUCCCCUCCCUGCCUCCCAUGCCUGUUCCCAAGACCGAGAGACAGUCUGGAAAGUGAUGUCAGAACAGCGUCCAAUAAAGCAGCCUCGUUCUGAGGUCUGAGUGAAAAAAAAAAAAAAAAAAAAAAAAAAAAGAAAUGAAAAAGAGAAAACAGGUUUCUGCAGAAAUUCUAAGUCUGUUUCCACUACUCCCCUAGCUUGCGAACUACAAGACGCUUAGUUGAAAGCGUGAAGAGGAUUCUUGGAGACGGGAAUUGAGACUGGUGGUAGCUUCCCAAUUAUCUGAUUACUUAAGACUUUAUUCAUAGCCAGAACAUUUUUUUCCUCACUUACAUACCAUCUAGAACAUUAUUUCAUACCCAGCCUUCCCUGUUGUCUCCCUCUGCUACCAAGUCUUCCCUGCCGGUUGUUCUUUUUAUCCAAUUAAAAUGAAAAACAAA